rnacentral:misc_RNA from 1 species
AAGUCGUAACAAGGUUUCCGUAGGUGAACCUGCGGAAGGAUCAUUAACACGUAUCCAACGUAAAAAACCCCCCUGUGAACAUUCAAACCUGCUCUCGUAGCCCAGUGCGAUCCAGCAAUCCCGGUAAAUCAUUUUCUGACAAAUGAGAAGUUACAGUUACGAUUGAGCGGAGAUAGCUGCAUGGCAUCCCGAAGCAGUCAGUGUCUGAAAGUGUCAUUGAUUGUCUAAGGAUCUCGCCUCAACGAUUGCCAGAGGUCGCUCACCGACCGGCAGACAUGCAACCGGGUCCCCACGCCCCUUUACAACCCCAUUACCUCUGUGAGUCGCGGGAAACUAGCGGCUAAAAAACCUCGAACAACUGUUAACAAUGGAUAUCUUGGUUCUC